AGUCGAGGGGUAACAUGAGAGCUUGCUCUUGAUGACGACCGGCGCACGGGUGAGUAACGCGUAUGCAACCUUCCUUUAACAGGAGGAUAGCCCGGAGAAAUCCGGAUUAAUAUCCCAUGGUAUUUACGAAUCGCAUGGUUUGUAAAUUAAAGAUUUUAUCGGUUAAAGAUGGGCAUGCGUGACAUUAGCUAGUUGGCGGGGUAACGGCCCACCAAGGCUACGAUGUCUAGGGGUUCUGAGAGGAAGGUCCCCCACACUGGUACUGAGACACGGACCAGACUCCUACGGGAGGCAGCAGUGAGGAAUAUUGGUCAAUGGACGCAAGUCUGAACCAGCCAUGUCGCGUGCAGGAUGACUGCCCUAUGGGUUGUAAACUGCUUUUGUACGGGAAGAAAUAUACCUACGUGUAGGUAUUUGCCGGUACCGUACGAAUAAGCAUCGGCUAACUCCGUGCCAGCAGCCGCGGUAAUACGGAGGAUGCGAGCGUUAUCCGGAUUUAUUGGGUUUAAAGGGUGCGUAGGCGGAAUGGUAAGUCAGUGGUGAAAUCCUGCAGCUCAACUGUAGUUGUGCCAUUGAUACUGUCAUUCUUGAGUACAGAUGAGGUAGGCGGAAUGAGUAGUGUAGCGGUGAAAUGCAUAGAUAUUACUCAGAACACCAAUUGCGAAGGCAGCUUACUAAACUGACACUGACGCUGAAGCACGAAAGCGUGGGUAUCAAACAGGAUUAGAUACCCUGGUAGUCCACGCCGUAAACGAUGAUUACUGGUUGUUUGCGAUACACAGCAAGCGACUGAGCGAAAGCAUUAAGUAAUCCACCUGGGGAGUACGUCGGCAACGAUGAAACUCAAAGGAAUUGACGGGGGCCCGCACAAGCGGUGGAACAUGUGGUUUAAUUCGAUGAUACGCGAGGAACCUUACCUGGGUUUAAAUGGGAAGUGACAGGGGUAGAAAUACCUUUUUCUUCGGACACUUUUCAAGGUGCUGCAUGGUUGUCGUCAGCUCGUGCCGUGAGGUGUCGGGUUAAGUCCCAUAACGAGCGCAACCCCUGUUGUUAGUUACCAGCACAUAUGGUGGGGACUCUAACAAGACUGCCGGUGUAAACCGCGAGGAAGGUGGGGAUGACGUCAAAUCAGCACGGCCCUUACAUCCAGGGCUACACACGUGUUACAAUGGCCGGUACAAAGGGCAGCUACACAGCGAUGUGAUGCUAAUCUCGAAAACUGGUCCCAGUUCGGAUUGAAGUCUGCAACCCGACUUCAUGAAGCUGGAAUCGCUAGUAAUCGCGCAUCAGCCAUGGCGCGGUGAAUACGUUCCCGGGCCUUGUACACACCGCCCGUCAAGCCAUGGAAGCCGGGAGUACCUGAAGUAUGUAACCGCAAGGAGCGUCCUAGGGUAAAACUGGUGACUGGGGCUAAGUCGUAACAAGGUAGCCGUACCGGAAGGUGUGGCUG
rnacentral:rRNA from 1 species